rnacentral:rRNA from 1 species
AUUGAACGCUGGCGGCAUGCCUUACACAUGCAAGUCGAACGGCAGCACGGGUGCUUGCACCUGGUGGCGAGUGGCGAACGGGUGAGUAAUACAUCGGAACAUGUCCUGUAGUGGGGGAUAGCCCGGCGAAAGCCGGAUUAAUACCGCAUACGAUCUACGGAUGAAAGCGGGGGACCUUCGGGCCUCGCGCUAUAGGGUUGGCCGAUGGCUGAUUAGCUAGUUGGUGGGGUAAAGGCCUACCAAGGCGACGAUCAGUAGCUGGUCUGAGAGGACGACCAGCCACACUGGGACUGAGACACGGCCCAGACUCCUACGGGAGGCAGCAGUGGGGAAUUUUGGAAAUGGGCGAAAGCCUGAUCCAGCAAUGCCGCGUGUGUGAAGAAGGCCUUCGGGUUGUAAAGCACUUUUGUCCGGAAAGAAAUCCUUGGCCCUAAUACGGUCGGGGGAUGACGGUACCGGAAGAAUAAGCACCGGCUAACUACG